GGAGUCUAACAUGUGCGCGAGUCGUUGGGUCUCUGCAAACCCAAAGGCGUAAUGAAAGUGAAGGAAGCUCCGCUUUCUGAGGGAGGAUGGGUACUCGCCAAGGCGUUGCCCCGCACUCCCGGGGCGUCUCUGGCUCAUUGCGAGCGGAGGCGCACCCAGAGCGCACACGUCGGGACCCGAAAGAUGGUGAACUAUGCCUGGCCAGGACGAAGCCAGGGGAAACCCUGGUGGAGGUCCGUAGCGAUUCUGACGUGCAAAUCGAUCGUUAGAGCUGGGUAUAGGGGCGAAAGACCAAUCGAACCAUCUAGUAGCUGGUUCCCUCCGAAGUUUCCCUCAGGAUAGCUGGCGCUCGUGUGAGACGAGUCUCAUUUGGUAAAGCGAAUGAUUAGAGGCCUUGGGGUCGAAACGACCUCAACCUAUUCUCAAACUUUAAAUAGAUGAGAACCCCGGCUUGCUUGAAUGUGAAGCCGGGGCUCGGAUCCGAGUGCCAAGUGGGCCAGUUUUG
rnacentral:rRNA from 1 species